rnacentral:lncRNA from 1 species
GAACUAUGUUUCAAGCUCACCAGAGAUACUAAUGUCUCAAAGUUAAAAUGAGGGGCAGAAAUUUGGAGUUUUAAAUGACACCUGCUAGGUCCAAGGCUACACUCGACACCGCUACACUGGGGAUGCAGCAUAAAUAAGUGGGACUCCUGUUCUUACUUGGGAGCAUGUGGCGGUACUUAGAGGUAAUUGUCAAUACAGAGGCAUAUGUGAUAUAGUCGUAAUGACCACUGACUUAGAUUUC